rnacentral:rRNA from 1 species
GCUAAUACCGGAUAAGUCUUUACGGAGAAAGCUUUAUGCACCAUUGGAUGAGCUUGCACUUGAUUAGUUUGUUGGUGGGGUAAUGGCCUACCAAGACUGUGAUCAAUAGCUGAUUUGAGAGGAUGAUCAGCCACAUUGGGACUGAGACACGGCCCAAACUCCUACGGGAGGCAGCAGUGGGGAAUCUUGCACAAUGGAGGAAACUCUGAUGCGGCGAUGCCGCGUGAGUGAAGAAGGCCCUUGGGUUGUAAAGCUCUUUCGUCGGGGAAGAAAAUGACUGUACCCGAAUAAGAAGGUCCGGCUAACUUCGUGCCAGCAGCCGCGGUAAUACGAAGGGACCUAGCGUAGUUCGGAAUUACUGGGCUUAAAGAGUUCGUAGGUGGUUGAAAAAGUUAGUGGUGAAAUCCCAGAGCUUAACUCUGGAACUGCCAUUAAAACUUUUCAGCUAGAGUAUGAUAGAGGAAAGCAGAAUUUCUAGUGUAGAGGUGAAAUUCGUAGAUAUUAGAAAGAAUACCAAUUGCGAAGGCAGCUUUCUGGAUCAUUACUGACACUGAGGAACGAAAGCAUGGGUAGCGAAGAGGAUUAGAUACCCUCGUAGUCCAUGCCGUAAACGAUGUGUGUUAGACGUUGGAAAUUUAUUUUCAGUGUCGCAGGGAAACCGAUAAACACACCGCCUGGGGAGUACGACCGCAAGGCUAAAACUCAAAUGAAUUGACGGGGACCCGCACAAGUAGUGAGCAUGUGGUUUAAUUCGAAGAUACGCGCAGAACCUUACCAACACUUGACAUGUUCGUCGCGACUCUAAGAGAUUAGAGUUUUCG